AAAAAGACAAACUCUGAGUUUCCGUGUCCAACUUUAACUGUCCGUCUUAUAUGAAAUUUUUUUAUAAUUCGUAUUUUCAUUGUUAUUAGAUGAUAAAACAUGAUUAAUAUUUUAUGCGUGACUUGUCUUUUUAAUUUUUUUCAUAAUUUUUUCAAAUAAGACGGACGGUCAAACGUUGGGUAUGGAACCAGGGUUUGUCUUUUU
rfam:Oryza sativa Japonica Group DNA, chromosome 3, cultivar: Nipponbare, complete sequence.